rnacentral:rRNA from 1 species
UGUAGAGGGGGGUAGAAUUCCAGGUGUAGCGGUGAAAUGCGUAGAGAUCUGGAGGAAUACCGGUGGCGAAGGCGGCCCCCUGGACAAAGACUGACGCUCAGGUGCGAAAGCGUGGGGAGCAAACAGGUGAGGAAUUUUUCAAAUACCCGCGACUGAUGAUUCCCGCGAUACAGAAUGGCGUAAUCCUUGUACUGGGUCUUGUUCACAAAGUGAUGGGCAAUCAGUUCGCC